rnacentral:rRNA from 1 species
CAGUAGCCGCGGUAAAACGAAGGGGGCUAGCGUUGCUCGGAAUCACUGGGCGUAAAGGGUGCGUAGGCGGGUCUUUAAGUCAGGGGUGAAAUCCUGGAGCUCAACUCCAGAACUGCCUUUGAUACUGAAGAUCUUGAGUUCGGGAGAGGUGAGUGGAACUGCGAGUGUAGAGGUGAAAUUCGUAGAUAUUCGCAAGAACACCAGUGGCGAAGGCAGCCCCCUGGGCCAAUACUGACGCUCAUGCACGAAAGCGUGGGGAGCAAACAGGAUUAGAUACCCCGGUAGUCCCUGUCUCUUAUAA